CUGUCAUUCAAAAUCAGUGUGUGCGUGUUUCUGCAUUAAUGAUGUUUUUCUCUGUCUUUCUCUAGUUGUCCAUCACAGUGGACUGGUAAUCGUUGCCAUAUCGAAGAAAAAACUUUUUUCACAACUGCUUCCACAACACCUGUGAUACCAGAUAGGUAUCUAGGUAAUCCGAUUGCUGUCAGUGUUGGAUUAAGUGUAGCUUUGAUCCUGGUGGUCAUUGCAGCUGGAGUCAUUUUGCUCUUGUUAUGUCAAAGGAGACAUUCACUAAACUGCAUUCUCUUGACGUUAGACCCAGGUGGCCAGUACAUCCUCGACUAAACAUCAGCGUUUACCCGUGAAGAGAGGAACCAAAGGUCUCCAGCUCAAAGGAAAACAAGCUAUUUUUCUCCAACCCACUCUACAAGUGCUCAAACAGUUCUGAUCCCUGA